GAUACACCCUGCUGGGUGGGUGGUGGGAUCCAGAAGAACCCAGACCUGUCCAUCAAAACCUGUUCACAGAUUGGCAUUAAAGAAGGUAACCGGGUGGAGAAGGGGCGCGACCCUAAUUCAAGAAACAAUAGAUGGAGACAGACAGAGGAGCACAAAGAAGCAAUGGGACAACACUGGUCAGCACGAUCAGUUGUGAUAAUAGGACACCAGCAACCUCACCAGAGUCAGGUUUUUUGCAGACACCUUGGAGGUAUUUGAAGGAGGCUAAUAAGGUAGGUACUGGACAAUCAGAGAAACUACUUCAUUCCUAUGGACCCCAAAU